rnacentral:rRNA from 1 species
GAUGAACGCUGGCGGCGUGCCUAAUACAUGCAAGUCGAGCGAACAGACGAGGAGCUUGCUCCUCUGACGUUAGCGGCGGACGGGUGAGUAACACGUGGAUAACCUACCUAUAAGACUGGGAUAACUUCGGGAAACCGGAGCUAAUACCGGAUAAUAUAUUGAACCGCACGGUUCAAUAGUGAAAGACGGUUUUGCUGUCACUUAUAGAUGGAUCCGCGCCGCAUUAGCUAGUUGGUAAGGUAACGGCUUACCAAGGCAACGAUGCGUAGCCGACCUGAGAGGGUGAUCGGCCACACUGGAACUGAGACACGGUCCAGACUCCUACGGGAGGCAGCAGUAGGGAAUCUUCCGCAAUGGGCGAAAGCCUGACGGAGCAACGCCGCGUGAGUGAUGAAGGUCUUCGGAUCGUAAAACUCUGUUAUUAGAGAAGAACAAAUGUGUAAGUAACUAUGCACGUCUUGACGGUACCUAAUCAGAAAGCCACGGCUAACUACGUG